rnacentral:rRNA from 1 species
UACAGAGGGUGCGAGCGUUAAUCGGAAUUACUGGGCGUAAAGCGCGCGUAGGCGGCUUUGCAAGUCGGGUGUGAAAUCCCCAGGCUUAACCUGGGAACUGCAUUCGAGACUGCAUUGCUAGAGUAUGGGAGAGGGAAGUGGAAUUUCCGGUGUAGCGGUGAAAUGCGUAGAUAUCGGAAGGAACAUCAGUGGCGAAAGCGACUUCCUGGACCAAUACUGACGCUCAUGAUGCGAAAGCGUGGGGAGCAAACAGG